GGCGGGCCCCCUGACGAGACUGACGCUCAGGUGCGAAAGCGUGGGGAGCAAACAGGAUUAGAUACCUGGUAGUCCACGCUGUAAACGAUGUCGAUUUGGAGGUUGUGCCCUUGAGGCGUGGCUUCCGGAGCUAACGCGUUAAAUCGACCGCCUGGGGAGUACAGCCGCAAGGUUAAAACUCAAAUGAAUUGACGGGGGCCCGCACAAGCGGUGGAGCAUGUGGUUUAAUUCGAUGCAACGCGAAGAACCUUACCUACUCUUGACAUCCAGAGAACUUUCCAGAGAUGGAUUGGUGCCUUCGGGAACUCUGAGACAGGUGCUGCAUGGCUGUCGUCAGCUCGUGUUGUGAAAUGUUGGGUUAAGUCCCGCAACGAGCGCAACCCUUAUCCUUUGUUGCCAGCGGUUCGGCCGGGAACUCAAAGGAGACUGCCAGUGAUAAACUGGAGGAAGGUGGGGAUGACGUCAAGUCAUCAUGGCCCUUACGAGUAGGGCUACACACGUGCUACAAUGGCGUAUACAAAGAGAAGCGACCUCGCGAGAGCAAGCGGACCUCAUAAAGUACGUCGUAGUCCGGAUUGGAGUCUGCAACUCGACUCCAUGAAGUCGGAAUCGCUAGUAAUCGUAGAUCAGAAUGCUACGGUGAAUACGUUCCCGGGCCUUGUACACACCGCCCGUCACACCAUGGGAGUGGGUUGCAAAAGAAGUAGGUAGCUUAACCUUCGGGAGGGCGCUUACCACUUUGUGAUUCAUGACUGGGGUGAAGUCGUAACAAGGUAACCA
rnacentral:rRNA from 1 species